GCGGUGCAUGCUGGGACUUGUAGUCUUCAGAACUCAGCGGCUUUGAUUUAGUGUAUCUGUUUAAGGAAAAUUUGUUUUGCCCAUGGGAACACAGCUGCCCUUCGUUAGUCACUGGUUGAUAUUAUUGAAUUCGGAGAGGUGUUUGUCCCUGCCCACCUGUGAAUAGAAGAAUUAGCACACCCCUUCUGAAGGCUGGACUUUCCCUCGGAGACGUUUUACAAGACUGAAGACCCUUUCACUUUACUUCCCCACUGCAUCUCCCUCUAUUCUGCCUUGUGACUUAAGUUCCUCAUUGCUUCUUUUCUCUCUGAUCUAUAAAAGAACCUGGCAUCCAGAUCCCAGUAAGAUGGUUGUUUUGAUGCACUAGCCUGCCCUUUUUCUCCGUCUGCCGGCCUUGCCUCAACACUUCGUCUCUCUGACUCAUUGACCUAUCGUGCGGCGAGCAGAGCAAGCUUGCACUCUGGGGUGCUUCCUAAUGUUCGUAAGUGCAAGAAGGUUGUGAUGUGUCUUAUGGAGAAAAUACCUGGGUUAGAUAAAGCUUCAUUCAGGUAUGUUUUGUGGCUGUGAGUUCAGUGUUAAAGAAUAAACUAUCCAGUGCAUCAAGGAAAAGGAAAGUCACCGAUCUGUAUUUGAUGCUGAUCCGUAAAGUGCUAAAGUGACAUUCAGAGUGUGCGAGGCAGCUAUGGAAAAGAUGGAAAAGCGGCUCAAUUCGUGGAUUCAGCCAAUAAAACCAA